ACUUCAUAAAGAAAACAUGAAAUAACAACAUCCUGUUCUAAAAGUUGUGUGUGACAACGGCGAUAGCCUACACAGCAGGGUAAUUCAAGAUUCACAGGAGUUCUAAGUUACAUUGUAAAAUGGCUACUUCCUUGAAACUCUCGACGCGAAACGUGCUUGAUGCUGAACGUGAAUAUAAAGGAGGCUCCGCAGAGGAAGCACAAAAAAUACUGCCAUACCUUGAUGCUAACGAGAGCUCAGAUGGAAUAAGGGAAGAACAGCCAGAACCACCUGUUCCUGACUGUCAGUCCAUGAAGAGCGAGAAUUCCAUGCGUCUUCCACUACAUUUCAACGGUGUCUGCCCCACCUCUGAUGGGAGCCAGUCUCUGGAGACAAACUCCUCAGUGUGUAGCACAGAUGAAGGUGAGAUGGAUCAAGGAUCUGGUGUUAAACAUCAAAGACAGAAGUGUGACAUAUGUGUGGGACGCAUUCACAAAGCUGUGAAGUUCUGCAAGGUUUGUAAGGCUGCGUACUGUGAGGACCAUGGUAGAGACCACUACAAGGCCCCAGGACUAAAGAAACACACGCUAGUGGAUGCCACUGAUAAGCACGGCCAUGUUGAAAUAGAAAGGAGUUUGACUCAGGUUGGAAUACGGAAAAAAACCUUAGGCCUUCUCUGGAUCGUCAUACUUCUACUUCUGGGUCUGGGAGGACUUUGGUAUCAAAUGAGUCCCACAGUAGAGGGUGUGUG
rnacentral:lncRNA from 8 species